GUUUACGACCAUACCACCCUGAACGUGCUCAAUCUCGUCUGAUCUCAGAAGCUAAGCAGGGUUGGGUCUGGUCAGUACUUGGAUGGGAGAUAACCUAGGAGUAUCAGGUGCUGUAGGCA
rnacentral:rRNA from 1 species